rnacentral:lncRNA from 1 species
AACGAUUUUUCUUCAUUAAAUCGGUUUCUACUACCAAGUUUAUUUGUAAAUGUCCAGGAGCAGAUUCACAUCAUACAUACCUGACCAUGAUGAAGGAUGCGAACUCAGAAAUGGGGCCAUCCCUUCCUCACUCUCCCCACAGUGUCCUCGGCUCUCCAACUGGGCAGUCAACGAUGUUCGCAGAAACAGUCGAGCGGUUAUGUCGCGACUGGAUGCCCAAAAGCAACAAAAAGCCAGCUAGUAGUAACAGAAGCUAUUCGUCAUGGUUCAUGUGGUCUGUGGCUCAGACUCCAAGUCGAAUUUGGAUGGUAAGUAAUGUUUGUUUUAUUUUGGGUUGUAUUCUGUAUCAAAAACUUCACAAUUCACCUGUAACUUGGAAAGAUUCUGACUCAUCUUUUAAAUUUAAGACUUCUGUAGAUAAGCACAAAUUAAUUGACCUUGUGGAGGUACAGGACACUAAUUACUUGAUUUGUUUAAGUUAACAAUAUUGCAUAAUUUCCUCUAUCUCUAAAACUCAUUCUAUGAUUGACUGAGUUCAUUUGAAAUUUUUUUUGAAACACGCUUCACUCUCAAUUUUAUAAUGGCUUCAUACAGUAUUUGUAAAUGUAGCAAUGACAAGUUAUUUAUAAAUUUCUUUGCCAAGAAAUUUUGCAUAGUUCCUCUGCCAGUGGACGAAUUACAAGAAAAAAUUGUUCAAGUUGAAAACUGCACAGAAUUUUUAUCCGUUAUUAUGGUGGUCACUAUCUACCGACUUAUUUCAUAAUGUGUCAUUAUAUAUGAUGAGUUCAAUGGCUGUGCAGGAACAGUCAAACAUUGGUUGAUCCUGUAUGAUGUAUAUAGCAUAACAGGCUUUGCUGGUGCCGGUCAUUUUUUCAACGAUGUCCCGAACAAUGUUGUAGGAUGUAAGAGCUAUUAAUAAUGAAUUCAUCCUCUCAAGUGAAACAUUCAUGUCUUCUCCUUUUUAGCCUCGGCAAAUUCAGCUAACGCAUCUGCUAUUAUGGAUGAAGGUAAAAAUCUCGAGACAAGUCUAAAGAUAUCUCAACAGAAAGGAGUUCAGACAAAGUGGACGGUGGACAGUAGUCUUAUUCCUGAUAUAAAGCUUCAGUACCUGAUAAAAGUGCAGCAGCAACAGAGGCUGACAAUGAAGAGACAGGGAAAUCUGCGGAGACUGUCAGAGAAAGUGAGAAGGAAGAAGUAAAGAAAGUCGAUUUCGAAGAAAAGACUUCAGUGACCAGGUGGUUCCUGAGGGGAUUAGCAAUCUAGCAGAAUCCCCAAAACCCACCGAAGUUAAAACUAGUGAUAGUGUACAAAAUUCCUUUGUAAGUAUUGAUUCAUUUGUUUUAUUUGAUGUGUGAUGAUGAAAUAACAUUUGAGAUGUGGGGAGAUUGCAUCAUUCGUUUCUAAAGGGUCCCCGUUGCUUGAAAUCAGUUCAAUUUCAUAUCACUCUUUGGCAGAUCUUUUUGUUCAGACGAGACUUCAUGUUAGCAACCAGUCAAUCUGACCCAAAACUUUGUUAAUCUUGUUUCUAGUACUAUCGGCUGUUGUGGUCAAUUUGCAGCAUAUUGUCAUUAGAACUAUGUUUUUCAUUUGGAUGUAUUUAUGCUAAAAGUAACUAAGAGGAAAUUAUAAAAUGGAACCAUAGAACUAUAAGGAACUAUAAUAAAACAAAAGGAACUAUAAUAAAUGCAAAUUUGAUACUUAGAGUUCCUUUUACCAUAAAUACAUCCUUUUUAAACAAGAAAUCGAACUCUCUGUGUUACCUAGAACCAGUAGGAAGGUUUGUUAACCUUGUUUAUUUGAGGAGUGGAUUUUAUUUUUAAAGUGCAUAAAGAUUUUUGAUAGAUCUUAAGUAUGUUUUUCAAUUUUUCUCUAAUUAUUUUUGG